ACUUUGCAGUCGUGAGAGGGAGGGGGAAGAGCCCCCUUGGCCGGCUAGGGAACCCGCUCAUUGUACGGGCUCACCCUCCUCCCCCCCAGCACACACCUAUUCGCUCAGUACUGGCUGGCAGCAGGCAGCUCGACCGGACCGAGCAGCGGGGCGUGACGGCCCCAAGCACAGGCCCUAGCGAAGGUUCCCGGGUUUCCCCCAGCCCCGCGCUGGGAUGGGGCCGGCUCACGAGGAGGCCCCACGCGGUGCUCCGCUAAGCAGCACAGUCGAUUGCAAAUGCUCGGGGCACAACCCUCUUCCCCGGGUCGUUAAACCGCGCUUGGAGCCGCUCGGAUGGCAAACGCCUCCGUGUUGUUCCCUGCACCCUCCAGCCGCUGCCCUGUUAACGGAGCGGCAGCUUAGCCAAGGUGUGUUUUCAUGCCCGGGUAAAAGCUUCCGACUCCCCACAAGAACGGCAUUAUUAUUAUUGCCGCGGAAGGGCGAGAGCUCGCCCACGGACGGGGCUGGCUCGCGCUCCGCAGUCACAGCCCCAGGGGGCGCUUCCAGCGCAAUCCCUCCCCGAGCCCCCAGGAGCGCAGAGGCAUCGCGGCUCGCGCUGGGGCCGCGGUAACGAGGGGCAGUUCGCUACCCUGCGCGCCGGUGCCUAGCGCUAUGGCUCCGCCUCCUGCCCUUUCGGAUCGCUGCUGGCGCCUGGGGGAGAAGGGAGGGAGCUCGAGGCGCGGGAGCUGCCGUUCUGCGGCCCGGUGCCGGCCCUGGCUGCGGCAGUUCCAGGGGGUGUCGGCUCUCCGGGCUGCCUCCGCGCUGCACAGCCGCGUAAGGGCCGAGCAGACUAGGGCAAGAGUGUGGGCUCACUUCCGUGUUAAUUACCGGGGGUCUGUUCAGAAAGAGGGAGGGGGGUGUCCAGCUUUUUUUCAGCUGAUCCUCACCUUUUGUGCACUGUGUUUGGGCAGCUUGAAAACAAAAGUAAAAUUGAUCAGUUCCUACUUUAGGGGGCUUAUAGGGCCCCCGAAUUUCCCCCCAGCUGCCGAAUAGAGUCUCCCCUUUUAGAAAAUGGCGUGCUAAAAGGAGAAGAUGUAAAGAACACCAAGUGACUGACUGGGAAGAGAGGUGAAACCCUCCCUUUGGGUCUGCACUUCCCUGAAAAUCCUAGAAGCCCGGCUGUCUGUAUAGGCCUAAGUCCCUCUGAACCUCUUCUCUUCUUCCGAUCACUCCUGCUUUCCGGUGGCAGUCACUGUUGUUUAUAAAGGACGUCGGCAAAAUCUGCGGCCUUUCUCCUCUGGGAAAAGGAAAAAGAAAAACAUGAAUUCUGUAGCAUGAGUGAUAAUGAAUGAGGAUCCCAGAGGUGCUAGUGUACUAAAUUCAUUUCUGCUAAGCCUGGGUUUGUUUACUGAUCAGUCUUUGUAUAUACAACGAUCUUCAAUAAACAUGCAGGGGGACAAGUGAGUUCUUCUAAUAACCUAUACCAUGAGCCCGAUCCUGCUCACGAGACAUCUCCAUAAAGUAGUUAUUGAAGUAGUCCGGUUUUUAGGAACGUUUACCCAAGGGAAUAAUCUUUACUGACGCCAGUAAUCACACUGGAGUCAAUGAAGGGCACAUCAGGAAAAAGCGUUUGCAGAAUUGGGCCCUACGUGUGGAUCCAGGCCUCAUAGAAAGCACGUUCCAAUCACUUCUUGUCCAGCCUGUAGAAUGGAUGCAUUGGAAAUAAAAACAAGCCCUGAAAGGAUACCUAUAACGAUCUACAUCAGCCGAAGGGCUAUGCUUAAAACGUGUCUGUUUGCUCUGAAAGAAGGAGAAGAGAACGUAAUCAAUUUAAUGCGAUUUAGUGUUUAGCAUCUGUGCCAACAUUCCAAGGCAUAAUUAAUAGGGAGGACAGCAGUGGACCGGGAGGGGGCAAUACCAGCAUGCUUCGCCUCUGGGCCCUCAUUGAAACCAACGCUGGGAGGACAGAGUAAAAAAAAAAAUGGCCCUGCUACUUUUGCUACAAAACAGAGAGGCUGCUUCUUUCUAAACAGCAGUUGGGUUGAUUUACAGGUAGACGAGAAACGUGCCGUAAGAGCCUCGUGACACUUUCCUCAGCUGGAUUCAAGUAAUGUAGAAAGACCAUGAGGAGGCGAUCUCCCGAGAAGCUCCUAGGAUGCGUGGCGUUGUUAACACAUGUUUCAAUUUUGGAUUGGGACUGUCAGUUACCCGCUGAGCUGCGAGUCUUGGCCUCAGGCGGACCAGGGAAAGGGGACGGUGUACUUAUUAACCUCUAGAGCUUAGCAGAGCAGCGCUUCCCGUCUGUUUGGGCUUUCUCGCACCUUCUCCGCAAGCCUUUGUAAACUGGGACUGGUUUUGCUUCUUUCUCUGAGCUAGCUGUACUUUGACUCCUCUAGCCACACUCUGCUACACAGGCUAUCCGCCGCCAGUGGAAUAGCAUUCAUUCAUGUUGUCACCAGAGGACCUUGAUUCAUUUAACAGCUGUUUACCCUUUCGAAACCGAGACCAAUUUUGUUUGCCAAAACACCACCAACGCCAGCACUGAACGGUAGGGGGAGGGGAGGUCUAUAGGCAUCUUUUCCCUGCUUCAAAAACGCAGUACAUUACAAAUCCCUCUUGGCACCUAAAAUACAGAUUCUUCAGGCGAGAGAGAACUUUUUUUCCCAGAUAAAGCCGCAGCAAAUAUAUUCUGUAAGAGAGUUUUCUAAAGAGUGUUAAAUUAAAUGGCUGGCCGUCUCAAGCAAUUAACACUUAAUCUGUUAUCUGAGAUCUGCAAACAUUCAGAGUUUACAGCAGUCAGAAAAGUGAAUUCCUUCCUGCAUGAACACCUUCUCUGCACUGUACGGUAAUUACAAAAUACUUACAGCCAUUUUAAGACGCAAUUUGUUUCUUAGAUGCUUAAGAUCUCCUAGUCUCUGCAUUGCUGCACGCCAGCAAGCCGGGACUUUGCCUGCUAAAGAAAUCCACUAGAGUGGAUAUUUGAGACCACUUAACACAAAGCCUAGGUUUUGUAUUUGCUUAUGUAGAUCUCCUUAUAGUCAUCCGAAAAAUGUCUGCAGUUUACUUUUCGCCUAACUGGUUGAGGUCACCUACUCACAACCUUUGCUGACCUGCAGUGUUUGGACUCUAAACUUAAAGUUGGACUUGUAGCCAAUAUAAGCUAAGUCCUUUGUCACUAACUGAGCUGCUGUAGCUCCCACAAGGGCUCCUGUUAGUCUCUCUGGGCUCAUUACUUUCCAGCGCUCCCUUAAGAUCCAGCGCAGAUCCGUUCAGCUGUCCUUUAUUGUAGGCUGCGCAUAUUCUUCUCUGUAGACCCGCACCCAGCACCUCCAGCCUCCAUGACGAUAAACGCAUUGUAGGCAGCCUAUAAAUAAUUUCUAUUAUGUUCAUCUGACGGCGCAAGGCGAUUAAUUUUAAUAGCUGUAUAUUUGCCUGCUUCUCCUAAUGCCCUGUAAUGAGAUGAGAAGCCACCGAAUCCCAGAUGACUCCAUCCUCUUGCAAAAGGCAACGGGGCGUCUGCAGCGCCUCCUAGUGGACUGGUAGGGAGCCCGAGUUGUCCUUAUCUUCUCGGUCCCGUCUCUCCUGCCAUAUCUGCAUGUGCCGAGAGCACCUCCCUUGUCUACCCGCAAUAGGAGCCAUUAUGACAUUGCACGUUCAACUGUCUGAAGCGAACCACUUGUGGACAAAGAUUCGCUUCUUUGUACCCGGGCUGGAGGCUAGUGGUUGCUCCUGGCUCGGUUAUUCCAGAAUCUGUAUUAGAUCCGGUAGCUCAGACAGUGACUCAGAGCCCUGGCGGGGCUGCCAGGGGGCCGAUAAAGGCAGAAGUAAAUGUCGUUAGGGAGUGAAGGGCGGGCGGAGGGGGAAAACAGAUCAGAACACGCCCUAUUAACCUAAAUGUUGUAUUAUCAUUGUGGCCUACGGUCCUUCCCUUCAGACUGCAGGAAGAGAAGUGGAGGUGGGGGGAGCAGGGGAAGAGACGCGUCAGAAGGUGACUGCUUUGUGGGAUCCGGGAAAUAAACACUAUGCAUCUCUCCCAGGCAGCAGCGAGCAAUGUGGUCUCUGUGUGUAUGUGUGUGUGUUCGUGUGACAAAGCCUAGCCGCCGUGAGCGAUCGCUCUCCUGCCUCAGCCAAGGGGGAGGAGAGGAGGAUGAAGGAAGUGAGGAGGUUUCUAAAUGUAGAGGCAUCGUAGCAGGUCCCAGAUUGAGGGAGAAAGAGUCCAUCCAUUGGUAGGACGAUUCUGUUUAACCAGAUGGAACCGCGUUGCAGCGAGCACCUGUGUCUUUUUUUCUACAAGGCGAGUACUGAUAAUUAGAGCAGUUAAUUGCAUUUCCUUGAAGGUCGUUUGAAGUUACACGCUGGGUUUUCUUCUCAUGCUAGCAGACAGUGCAUUUGCUGUGUUUAAAAUGUAAAUCAGAGGGUAUCCGCAUAAACCUGUGUCAUGGGAUCGAGGCGUAAUGGAUUCACGCUGGCUGUGUCUGAGGUAUGCACAGUGCAAACUGAGGCGGGCAGCUAGAAACGCACGGGUUUUCUUUUAGGAAACGCAGCUGGUAAAGAACGUGAAAGGAUGAAAUCGCGAAGGGGAAAGGAGAACGGGCAUGGUUCUCCAGCAGAGCCAAGAACUGCAUUUACCCAGCACAGACACUCAUCUUUACGCCAGUGAAGUUUUAUCUCUUCGCAGAGACAACACGAGAAGCAUCUUUCCUGGGAGGAUUGCAAAGCUCUGAACAAAUAUCAAUUAUCCUCACAGCACACCUGUGAGUAUCAGCAAAGAUGACUUCACAACCCCUCUGGGUGAGGCCUGCUUGCUCCAUUUUCAUCACCCCAUGUGGUUGCAUGACCCUGUAAGAGGCAUUAUGCCUGUCUGGGUCCCUUUUAUCUUAAAUCAUAAAAUAUGUACACAAAUUGCCCCAGACGCUCUGUGAAUAGUCUCGACUCAGGGUUAUCAUGGGUCGUCUAGAAUUGGCAGUCAGCGGAGGAUGCAGUAACAAGAUUAGAGGCAUCUUGAAACCUUGUGGGAGAGGAGGGAGCCGGGAGAGAAAUUA